rnacentral:lncRNA from 1 species
GAGCACGGCGUUCCGCUAUCCUCCACCGCGUCUUCUCUCUUGACUCUCUCAACACUCCCACCAAUCUUCUGCCGCUUUUUCGGUGGCAUAGGCGAUGAAUCGAGCAAUACGGGAGCUUUACGAGCCCUAUUGCUCCUGCGAAGCUCCAAUUCAUCAUCCCCAUUAAUCAACCCACUCGGUUCGACAUCUUCAACCUCUCUUUGGCUACUAGUAUAAGAUUUUUCACAAAUUGAGUCUAACCUCUUGUGCUUUUUCUUACCCUUAUGCUUAUUCCUCAAUUUCUUAUCCUUCUUUCUCUCAGCAACAGAUUCAGACCGCGAUAAUCGCAUGUCAGAAAACCCUCCAAACGAAAAAAAUAUGAAAAGAGAUACUAACUCUUACCUAUAAUAUCCUUUCUCCUUCUUCUCCUCCACGCGUUAAUUCACAAAUCAAUUCGAUUUUUCGUUCAAUAGGGAUUUCAGCGUAUCUGAAGAUAAAUCAAAUUGGGGAAAAUGAGGCUGAUGGAACACUGACCUUGUUGUAUGGAUCAUGCAGAAGAAAUCACUCAACCGAAAAUUGGUAACCCUACAAAAUUUAUCAGAAAUUCAACCUGGAAUUUUCAGAAAAAAUCCCAAAUAUUUAGGGAUUGAGAAUCGGAUUCUUCGAUCAUACAAAGAAAUUAUCAAUUUUCGUUUUGCUAAUUUUUUUUUUUUUUUUUUUUUUUCACAGUCAAGUGUAUUAGGGCUUUUCUCUGUUGAGGGGCGGAGGUA